rnacentral:tRNA from 1 species
UCUGAUGUGCCUCAACCGGCAGAGCACCCGACUGUUAAUCGGGAAGACCCAGGUCCCCCCUGGCAUCAGAG